AGCACCGCUUCUAACUGUCUGUUUAUUCAGACAAUAUAUGACAAUUUGACCUCAAAUCAGGUAGGACUACCCGCUGAACUUAAGCAUAUCAAUAAGCGGAGGGGG
rnacentral:rRNA from 1 species